UAGAGGAUAAAAUAUCGUUAUGAACUUGUAUCCGGUGUUUACUUUUUCGGAAAAUCGAAAGAUUUGCCCCCACGCUUAUGUUCUUUCAGAAAAGAUAUCCAUGGAACAAAUCAUCUGAAAACUAAGAGAGGAUGAAGAAUACUUCUGUUAAAAAGUUGAAGUAACUGAUGAGCAGAUCAAUCCAACUUGAACAUGAUAUCAUUUCUCCAAUGAUGAAAACAAGUCUCUCUAUACUCAAGCAUUGAUAUUUUUAAAGUCAACUGAAACUGGAACAGGUCAUACAUGCAGACUACAGUGAUGUGUUGCACAGUUCCGAAAACAUGCAGCCACCACUAGCAUAAGCAUGAUAAGUGUAAGUGUGUCAUCAAAGAAUGAGAACCACUCAAGGACUUUUCUGUUGGUUGAUGAUGGACUACAAACUGAAUUUUUAACAAAGGAAUCCACCUUGGUGCUUAUUGGCUACUUAUGAUGUGAACUUGUGCAUUUAUUAUACCAAGUAAUUUUACAUUUCCUUAAUAAUACUAGACUUGCAUAAACCGAAUUCAGGUUUAGUUGAUUGAUUGCAGUAAUGCGGUUCUAAGUUCCUCUCGCAAGAUUAUAUCUCUGAUGUAUGAGACAUCAUUAAAUGCAGACAUUUUCUCUGUCCUCCUGUCGUGACUUGAGGGUUCGGACUUAGCUGUAAAAAUGUUUAUGAUGCAAGAGAAAAAUGUUCAACCGAUGUAUGUAAAUGUUGAUAAUAACAUUAAAUAUUCUUUGAUAACUAG